UACAGAGGGUGCAAGCGUUGGUCGGAAUUAUUGGGCGUAAAGGGCGUGUAGGCGGCUAGGAAAGUCUUCUGUGAAAUCUACGGGCUCAGCCUGUAACGUGCAGAGGAAACUAUCUGGCUAGAGUGUCGGAGAGGAUAGGGGAAUACCCGGUGUAGAGGUGAAAUUCGUAGAGAUCGGGUGGAACACCAGUGGCGAAGGCGCCUGUCUGGCUGACAACUGACGCUGAGACUCGAAAGCGUGGGGAGCGAACAGG
rnacentral:rRNA from 1 species